rnacentral:rRNA from 2 species
AUUCGAUGCGGGUGCUAUAAUGCAGUCGAGCGGACCGACGGGAGCUUGCUCCCUUAGGUCAGCGGCGGACGGGUGAGUAACACGUGGGUAACCUGCCUGUAAGACUGGGAUAACUCCGGGAAACCGGGGCUAAUACCGGAUGCUUGAUUGAACCGCAUGGUUCAAUCAUAAAAGGUGGCUUUUAGCUACCACUUACAGAUGGACCCGCGGCGCAUUAGCUAGUUGGUGAGGUAACGGCUCACCAAGGCGACGAUGCGUAGCCGACCUGAGAGGGUGAUCGGCCACACUGGGACUGAGACACGGCCCAGACUCCUACGGGAGGCAGCAGUAGGGAAUCUUCCGCAAUGGACGAAAGUCUGACGGAGCAACGCCGCGUGAGUGAUGAAGGUUUUCGGAUCGUAAAACUCUGUUGUUAGGGAAGAACAAGUACCGUUCGAAUAGGGCGGCACCUUGACGGUACCUAACCAGAAAGCCACGGCUAACUACGUGCCAGCAGCCGCGGUAAUACGUAGGUGGCAAGCGUUGUCCGGAAUUAUUGGGCGUAAAGCGCGCGCAGGCGGUUUCUUAAGUCUGAUGUGAAAGCCCCCGGCUCAACCGGGGAGGGUCAUUGGAAACUGGGGAACUUGAGUGCAGAAGAGGAGAGUGGAAUUCCACGUGUAGCGGUGAAAUGCGUAGAGAUGUGGAGGAACACCAGUGGCGAAGGCGACUCUCUGGUCUGUAACUGACGCUGAGGCGCGAAAGCGUGGGGAGCGAACAGGAUUAGAUACCCUGGUAGUCCACGCCGUAAACGAUGAGUGCUAAGUGUUAGAGGGUUUCCGCCCUUUAGUGCUGCAGCAAACGCAUUAAGCACUCCGCCUGGGGAGUACGGUCGCAAGACUGAAACUCAAAGGAUUUGACGGGGGCCCGCACAAGCGGUGGAGCAUGUGGUUUUAUU